CGCAGUCGACGACUUACCUUGGCCGGCCGUGGAAAGAGUAUUCAAGAACGGUGGUGAUGCAGUCUUUCCUCGACGGGUCGAUUCACCCGUCGGGUUGGUCUCCUUGGUCGGGUGGUUUCGGUCUCAAAACUCUUUUUUACGGGGAGUUUGGUAACUCGGGUCCUGGAUCAUCGGUUUCGGGUCGGGUUAAAUGGGCCGGGUAUCAUUCAUCUUUAACGGUGAAGGAAGCGGAAGGAUUUACUGUGGCUAAUUUCAUUGGCGGGACGAUGUGGUUGCCGUCAACGGGCGUUAGUUUCGACUCUGGCCUUGUGAAGUGAG
rnacentral:lncRNA from 1 species